UCAGAUGUUUACCUGCUUACCAUCUCACUUUCUCUGCCUCGGACAGAAAGUUGAAGGUUGAAGUUGUGGGUAGUUGUCAGAGUACUUCAUCAAGACAGCAACUAACGCCCCUUGUAAAUACUCCCAAAAAUUGUUCACAAAUCCAGCUGGUGGAGCGGAAAUGGCUUUGACCAUUUUUUUUAGUGAACUGAGAAAUGCUGUGCGAGGAAGAAAUUAGAUUGCGGACAAUGGAUUGAAAGUCCACGAGAAGGAGAAAAAGAAUCAACUUUCCAGAUUGAGGAAAAUCACAAGGAAAUACUAAAGGGAGGAGAAAAAGAUUAGCUUUUCAGUUUUAGACAAAAAUUUAGGUAUCAGAACUCAGCAGAUCAUAAUCUUCUUAUUCAGAUAUGAGAGUUAAAGCAAAGGAGCUGGGGCUGUUAGCUGAGUCAUAUUUGGAGGGAAUGCAAUCAAUAUACAAAUUGAUUGGCCAAGUGCAGCAUUUAUGGUCCAUUGGGUUCACAAGUUCUUGAUGACAUCCCUGCAGAGAUGCGAGAUUUGUUGGAAGCGUAUGUGUUAGCCGUUGCUUAUUCUCAUUUUGUUUCUAUUUAAGAGAUUAUGACCUCUUCCAAUGUACCCAAAAAAGAAAAAGAAAAAGAAAAAAAUGAGGUUUCUUUAUGAUGUAUAUCCUUGAUAUUUUUUGGAGGAUUUUAUUGUUCUUUUGAUUGGCUUUAUCCCAUAAUGCUGUAAAACCUCUCUAGCAUUAAAGUUGUGCAGAAAUUGUGAGGUCGCUUUCCUCAAAAACUCAAAAGACAAGAUAUGUUGAGAAAGAGUUUUUAAUU